rnacentral:rRNA from 1 species
GAUGAACGCUGGCGGCGUGCCUAAUACAUGCAAGUCGAGCGAACAGACGAGGAGCUUGCUCCUCUGACGUUAGCGGCGGACGGGUGAGUAACACGUGGAUAACCUACCUAUAAGACUGGGAUAACUUCGGGAAACCGGAGCUAAUACCGGAUAAUAUAUUGAACCGCAUGGUUCAAUAGUGAAAGACGGUUUUGCUGUCACUUAUAGAUGGAUCCGCGCCUCAUUAUCUAGUUGGUAAGGUAACGGCUUACCAAGGCAACGAUGCGUAGCCGACCUGAGAGGGUGAUCGGCCACACUGGAACUGAGACACGGUCCAGACUCCUACGGGAGGCAGCAGUAGGGAAUCUUCCGCAAUGGGCGAAAGCCUGACGGAGCAACGCCGCGUGAGUGAUGAAGGUCUUCGGAUCGUAAAACUCUGUUAUUAGGGAAGAACAAAUGUGUAAGUAACUAUGCACGUCUUGACGGUACCUAAUCAGAAAGCCACGGCUAACUACGUG